GCAAAAGGAACAAAGGCUAAAAGCGUCACGUCCUGUGACAAUUUAUCUGCGCGACAGCAGCAACGCCUUUGUGACCAACAUCAUAUUGG
rnacentral:sRNA from 1 species